UUAAUGGGCUUUCCCAGAGGGUCCUUGCUUUUCGGGAUCCUUGGGAUGUCCCUACCUCAAUUAAGUAUAAAUGUAAAAUGGUUAAGUUUAGUGUUAUAGUUUAGGGUUUAGGGUAGAGACUUCCCAAUGAAUCCAGAUAGCAGUGACCGUUCAUAGAGUGAGAGACGGGCACGGUAUUUGAGAGCUCGGCGGGGACCCCGACAUUCAUUCGUUAUUUUUGUUUUUUAAACGGCAGACGCGAUUUUCAAGAGUGACUGCCCCAGAUCAUUUCAUUGGAGAGGAUGAAAAGAACUACCAAGACGUCCUUGAUCUGAUUGAGGGGGUGAGACUGAACAUGGACAAUGCGCAGGAGAAAAGGAAAGACUGCCACCGGAGGAGAAUGAAGGGGACCAAGUGCUUCGACAUCCGGGCGAAUGACUUGGCUUGGAAGAAGGACGAAAGGAACGCAAGACCUGGGAAACCUUGCUGCUCUUUCGCUCCUAGCUGGGGUCCCCGUUCGUUAAGGUUGGUGUUUCCACUCACUACAAAGCGACGAGAAGAAGCCCCGUGGCCGGGAGUGGGAGAAGAUGGAGCAAGAUUGACAUUCUGCUAAUUUUCUCAUUGAUGAACCAUUUGAUCUCCAUAGUUUUCUGUGUCCAAAACUAAAAUCUGUAACAAAAGGAGUGGACUGUGUUUUGUAGAAUUUACCCUUUGCCAAAGUUUCUUCCAAAAAUGUUGUUGUUUAGAAGUAGUGCAUAUUUCCGUUAGUUCCCUAAUGGAAAUAUGCAAAUAAAUAAAUGCUAGAAUGUGCCAAUAGG